rnacentral:rRNA from 1 species
CAGCCGCCGCGGUAAUACAGAGGAUGCAAGCGUUAUCCGGAAUUAUUGGGCGUAAAGGGUACGUAGGUGGCCUUUUAAGCGUAGGGUAUAAGGCAAUGGCUCAACCAUUGUUCGCCCUAUGAACUGGAAGGCUUGAGUGCAGGAGAGGAAAGCGGAAUUCCUAGUGUAGCGGUGGAAUGCAUAGAUAUUAGGAGGAACAUCAGCGGCGAAGGCGGCUUUCUGGACUGCAACUGACACUGAGGUACGAAAGCGUGGGGAGCAAACAGGAUUAGAUACCCCGGUAGUCCCUGUCUCUUAUACA